rnacentral:rRNA from 1 species
AACGAACGCUGGCGGCAGGCCUAACACAUGCAAGUCGAGCGAGCAUUUCGGUGCUAGCGGCGGACGGGUGAGUAACGCGUGGGAACGUGCCCUUUUCUGCGGAAUAGUCCUGGGAAACUGGGGGUAAUACCGCAUACGCCCUUUUGGGGAAAGAUUUAUCGGAGAAGGAUCGGCCCGCGUUGGAUUAGGGAGUUGGUGGGGUAAUGGCCCACCAAGCCGACGAUCCAUAGCUGGUUUGAGAGGAUGAUCAGCCACACUGGGACUGAGACACGGCCCAGACUCCUACGGGAGGCAGCAGUGGGGAAUCUUAGACAAUGGGGGCAACCCUGAUCUAGCCAUGCCGCGUGAGUGAUGAAGGCCUUAGGGUUGUAAAGCUCUUUCAGCUGGGAAGAUAAUGACGGUACCAGCAGAAGAAGCCCCGGCUAACUCCGUG